GUGCCAGCCGCCGCGGUAAUACGUAGGUGACAAGCGUUAUCCGGAAUUACUGGGCGUAAAGCGCACGCAGGCGGCGCGUUAAGUCUGACGUGAAAUCUCCCGGCUUAACUGGGAGGGGUCGUUGGAGACUGGCGUGCUUGAGGCGGUGAGAGGGGUGUAGAAUUCCCGGUGUAGUGGUGGAAUGCGUAGAUAUCGGGAGGAAUACCAGUGGCGAAAGCGGCACCCUGGCACUAGCCUGACGCUCAUGUGCGAAGGCGUGGGGAGCGAACGGGAUUAGAUACCCUAGUAGUCC
rnacentral:rRNA from 1 species